GACGAACGCUGGCGGCGUGCUUAACACAUGCAAGUCGAACGAUGAAGCCCAGCUUGCUGGGUGGAUUAGUGGCGAACGGGUGAGUAACACGUGGGUGAUCUGCCCUGCACUCUGGGAUAAGCCUGGGAAACUGGGUCUAAUACCGGAUAUGACCUCGGGAUGCAUGUCCUGGGGUGGAAAGUUUUUCGGUGCAGGAUGAGCCCGCGGCCUAUCAGCUUGUUGGUGGGGUAAUGGCCUACCAAGGCGACGACGGGUAGCCGGCCUGAGAGGGCGACCGGCCACACUGGGACUGAGACACGGCCCAGACUCCUACGGGAGGCAGCAGUGGGGAAUAUUGCACAAUGGGCGCAAGCCUGAUGCAGCGACGCCGCGUGAGGGAUGACGGCCUUCGGGUUGUAAACCUCUUUCAGCAGGGACGAAGCGCAAGUGACGGUACCUGCAGAAGAAGCACCGGCCAACUACGUGCCAGCAGCCGCGGUAAUACGUAGGGUGCGAGCGUUGUCCGGAAUUACUGGGCGUAAAGAGCUCGUAGGCGGUUUGUCGCGUCGUCUGUGAAAUCCCGCAGCUCAACUGCGGGCUUGCAGGCGAUACGGGCAGACUCGAGUACUGCAGGGGAGACUGGAAUUCCUGGUGUAGCGGUGAAAUGCGCAGAUAUCAGGAGGAACACCGGUGGCGAAGGCGGGUCUCUGGGCAGUAACUGACGCUGAGGAGCGAAAGCGUGGGUAGCGAACAGGAUUAGAUACCCUGGUAGUCCACGCCGUAAACGGUGGGCGCUAGGUGUGGGUUUCCUUCCACGGGAUCCGUGCCG
rnacentral:rRNA from 1 species